ACCAGAGCCAGAGGAGAUACUGGAGUUUCCUCAUGUGUAAACUGAGGAAAAUUCACAGUACCUGGGAGGAUUUUUGGAGAAAAGCAAGAGUUGCUUCAAUCAAGCAGUAAGCACUGCAUCUGCCACAAGGUUCGAUGUUUGGAUAAUGGCUCCUUAGGGAAGAAGUGGCCUCACGGAAGAACUGGAAGGCCUUGCUUUUCUCUGGAAAUGGAAGUGCUUGCUGAGGAGGUGCACACAUUGACGAUUGCUUUAUCAGCUGCCACCUCCAUUAUUGGUGAACACCUUUGCAAACAAACAAACAAACAAAAUGAUUUAAUAGUUGAUUAAGAGCAGAAAUGGGAUGCAGAACAACCCUUGAGGUGAGGGUAGGGGAGGACGGUUGCAGUAGGUGAAGGGCCAGGCAUGUGAGAACGUAGAAAUGAGGACCCUGAGAAAGGAGGGAGAAAUUGACAAAGGCAAACUUCUGUUUAAAAUCAUAGUAUUUCCCCUGCACUGUCCCUGAGCUCCUUAAGGAAUUCCAGAUGACUUUCUCUUCUAUUAGUUUUUCAUCCUCUUAUAACAACUUCUCACCCACAUUGAUCAAUAAGUACUGCAGAUAGCCUAUAAUUUAUCAAGUCUGUGUGUGGAUUUGCUGGUUCUUUCAUUUAAGAUUCUUAUAAUCCUUCUUUCUUGGUACCCCCUACCCAUUUAGCACUCUUACUGACUUCCCACUGAAUUUCAUUUCUAAAACUGGGAAAUCCCCAAAUUUGUGAGGCAGAGCUUGUCUCCCACUGUAGAAGCUCCUUUGCAGCUAUGACAUGAGCCCUAACCUACCCCACCCCAGACAUGAGUGCCCACCCUAGACAUGGAAUUGGAGGGUGAUGACCCAAGGAAUCAGGGAGGCUAUAGAAUGCCCUCUGGGGAGAAUGGAAGCAGCUACCUGCAGUUCCCAGUGACAGCAUCCGGGUCCAGCAAUGUGGCCUUGCCUUCACACCUAUACUGUCUUCAUGGGACAGCUCUGUGGUCUGUCCACCUAUUCCUCCCAGGCAUUCUAUGAGGAGGCCAAUACCCUCUGAAUUAAGGUCCAAAUCUGCUUAAAUUGACAAGGAUUGGUAUUUGCCGUGUGCAACUUAAAGUUCUGAUUUUUAGUUUAUUUAACACAUAGAAAUGUUUCUAUGUACCAGCACUUUACAAAUAUUAACUCAUUUAAUCAAUUAGCUCUUUAAUCCUGAUACCCAGUAGGGACUAUUAUCAUCCCUAUUUUAUAUAUAAGGAAACUAAGAUACAGACAGGGCACCUAAUUUGCCUUAGAUAACUCAGUUGGUCAGGGGUAGAGCUGAGCUGGGAUUCAAACCCAAGCUCUUAACCACUGUGUUCCCCUGCCUGCUAGGCAGAUCUUUCCCCAUUGUCUUCCUUGGCAAUCUUCCCCACUUCUUCUGUCUG